rnacentral:rRNA from 1 species
UACGUAGGGGGCAAGCGUUGUCCGGAUUUAUUGGGCGUAAAGAGCGUGUAGGCGGCCAAGCAGGUCCGCUGUGAAAACUCGAGGCUCAACCUCGAGACGUCGGUGGAAACCGUUUGGCUAGAGUCCGGAAGAGGAGAGUGGAAUUCCCGGUGUAGCGGUGAAAUGCGCAGAUAUCGGGAAGAACACCCGUGGCGAAGGCGGCUCUCUGGGACGGUACUGACGCGUGAGACGCGAAAAGCGUGGGGAGCGAACGAGG